AUUAUUUAUAAGUCCAAUAUAAGGAUAAGUCACCUAUAAUGAUUAUAAUAUAAUUAAGUAGUA
rnacentral:tRNA from 1 species